rnacentral:tRNA from 1 species
GUUAAGGUGGCUGAUAAAAGCAUUAAAUUGUAAAUUUAAAGAUAAGAGAUUCUUUGACA